rnacentral:misc_RNA from 1 species
AUAAAAUCCAACUGUCUUUCCCAAUCAACGCAAAAUCCAAGUUUAUAUAUAGUCUACCCCCAAGAUUCCCGGCUACCUCUCUCCCAUCUCACCUCUCUCGCGUUCUCUUUCACUCUCUCUCUCUUCACCAUGGUUCUCUCCAAGACAGCGUCGGAAUCCGACGUCUCCGUCCACUCCACCUUCGCUUCCCGCUAUGUCCGAGCUUCACUACCACGGUUCAAGAUGCCAGAGAACUCGAUCCCAAAGGAAGCAGCUUACCAGAUCAUCAACGAUGAGCUGAUGCUGGAUGGGAACCCUAGGCUGAAUCUGGCAUCCUUUGUGACCACAUGGAUGGAACCUGAGUGCGAUAAGCUUAUGAUGGAAGCCAUCAACAAGAACUACGUUGACAUGGAUGAGUACCCUGUCACCACUGAGUUGCAGAACCGAUGUGUUAAUAUGAUAGCUCAUCUAUUUAACGCACCACUUGGAGAUUCAGAGACUGCAAUUGGAGUAGGAACUGUGGGAUCUUCAGAGGCAAUAAUGUUGGCUGGAUUAGCAUUCAAGAGGAAGUGGCAGAACAAGAGAAAAGCUGAGGGAAAGCCCUAUGAUAAGCCCAACAUUGUCACUGGAGCCAAUGUUCAGGUUUGUUGGGAGAAAUUUGCUAGGUAUUUUGAAGUGGAGUUGAAGGAAGUGAAGCUUAGAGAUGGGUAUUAUGUGAUGGAUCCAGCGAAAGCUGUGGAGAUGGUUGAUGAGAACACAAUUUGUGUUGCUGCUAUUCUUGGCUCCACUCUUAAUGGAGAAUUUGAAGAUGUAAAGCUCUUGAAUGAUCUCUUGAUAGAGAAGAACAAGCAAACUGGAUGGGAUACUCCUAUCCAUGUUGAUGCAGCAAGUGGUGGGUUUAUUGCCCCUUUUAUUUAUCCAGAACUUGAGUGGGAUUUCCGAUUGCCAUUGGUGAAGAGUAUCAAUGUUAGCGGGCACAAAUAUGGACUGGUCUAUGCUGGAAUUGGUUGGGUCAUUUGGAGGAGCAAAGAUGACUUGCCUGAAGAACUCAUCUUCCAUAUCAACUACCUUGGAGCUGAUCAACCUACUUUCACCCUUAAUUUCUCCAAAGGUUCUAGUCAAGUUAUUGCUCAAUACUAUCAACUCAUUCGCUUGGGCUAUGAGGGGUACAGAAACAUUAUGGAAAAUUGCAGAGACAACAUGCUGGUUUUGAAGGAAGGACUAGAGAAGACAGGGCGUUUCAACAUUGUUUCAAAGGACAAUGGGGUGCCACUGGUAGCUUUUUCCUUGAAAGACAACAGCUGCCACAAUGAGUUCGAAAUCUCCGAAAUGUUAAGGAGAUUUGGUUGGAUUGUGCCUGCAUACACAAUGCCGCCUGAUGCAGAACAUGUAACUGUGCUUCGAGUUGUCAUCAGAGAGGACUUUUCUCGCGCGCUCGCAGAGCGCCUUGUUCAUGACAUAGAUAAAGUUCUAAACGAGCUUGAUACUCUGCCAGCCAGGGUAACUUCCAAGAUUUCAAUAGCUGAAGAGAAAGAAAAGAAUGGCACCAUUUUAGUCACCAAGAAGAGUGAUUUGGAGACACAGAGGGAGAUUACUACCGUUUGGAGGAAGUUUGUCAUGGAAAGGAAGAAGAUGAAUGGUGUUUGUUAGAGGGUAAAGGCAAAACUCUCUGCCGUCUAAUAUAUUAUUUUUCCCUUUCCGAGAGUGCAUGUUGCUUUCCCAAGAGAAAAACAAAGUUAUGGUUUGUUAUUUGGCAUGGCUACUUACCUUAAACCUUUUAUUUUUCAUAUGAAUCUAUUAUAUCUUCCAACUUAAAGAAUGGAUCUUUUAUUUUAUGCUGGAUAUUAAAAAUUUUAAUUAUUUU